UACGUAGGAUGCGAGCGUUAAUCGGAAUUACUGGGCGUAAAGCGUGCGCAGGCGGUUCGUUAUGUCCGAUGUGAAAGCCCCGAGCUUAACUUGGGAAUGGCAUUGGAAACUGGCGGGCUGGAGUGCGGCAGAGGGGGGUGGAAUUCCACGUGUAGCAGUGAAAUGCGUAGAGAUGUGGAGGAACACCGAUGGCGAAGGCAGCCCCCUGGGCCGACACUGACGCUCAGGCACGAAAGCGUGGGGAGCAAACAGG
rnacentral:rRNA from 1 species